rnacentral:rRNA from 1 species
UACAGCGGGAAGCCAGGCGGUGACGCCGAGCGGAACCCGAAAGCCCCUCUCAGUUCGGAUCGGAGUCUGCAACCCGACUCCGUGAAGCUGGAUUCGCUAGUAAUCGCGCAUCAGCCAUGGCGCGGUGAAUACGUUCCCGGGCCUUGUACACACCGCCCGUCAAGCCAUGGGAGCCGGGAGCGCUUGAAGUGCGUCGCCGCGAGGCGCGCCCUAGAGCGAGACCGGUGACUGGGGCUAAGUCGUAACAAGGUAGC